rnacentral:rRNA from 1 species
AUUGAACGCUGGCGGCAGGCCUAACACAUGCAAGUCGAACGAGUGGCGGACGGGUGAGUAAUGUCUGGGAAACUGCCAGAUGGAGGGGGAUAACUACUGGAAACGGUAGCUAAUAACGCAUACCAUCGGAUGUGCCCAGAUGGGCUUAGCUAGUAGGUGGGGUAACGGUUCACCUAGGCGACGAUCCCUAGCUGGUCGGAGAGGAUGUCCAGCCACAAGGGAACUGAGACACGGGCCAGACGCCUACGUGAGGCAGCAGUGGGUAAUAUUGCACAAUGUGCGCAAGCCUGAUGCAGCGAUGCCGCGUGUAUGAAGAAGGCCGUCGGGUUGUAAAGUACUUUCAGCGUGGAGGCGUUACUCGCAGAAGAAGCACCGGCUAACUCCGUGCCAGCAGCCGCGGUAAUAC